GACAAGCGAUACCAAGCUCCUGGAGCACUGAUGAGGGCGACAGAGAGGAGGCAAAGAAGAGAGGGAGGAAGAGAGAAAGACAGAGAUGAGUGAAGAAGAAAGAAAGAGUGAGAAAGUGAAUAAAGAGUUGGAAAUGCAGAGCAAGGAAAGUAAGAGAGUAAGACGAGGAUGAGGAGAAAUGAGAGGAAUGUAGUAGGAAACGAGGCGAGAAGGAUGAAGCCACAGUACAGGAAGAUAAAUGCUAUAGAAAAAGAGUGCGUUCAGGAAGGAGAGGAGGCAGUUUUGAGCGAUAGCGAACAUACUGUAGAUGAAAGCUCUCGGAGGAGUGGGCUGCUGAGAAGCGUCAGCAUUGUCAGAGCAUUGUCAGCCCUCAGGGACAGCCGGGGGCCGGCCGUCAGCCUUUAUUUGGAGAGCCGAAGCUUUUCCACCCUCCCUGAGAUCAGCUGAGAGCUGGAGAAUUACUGCAAAUGAGUCUGUUUACUGCCUGUUUGCUUCAACUGUGUGAAGAUGAAGGUUAAUCCGUGUGUGUGUGUGUGUGCAUCCGAUCGUCAGCCUCGAAGUGUGGGGGCAGGAAGAAAAGAUGCCGGGUGCCCUCCAGUGGAGAAAGUGUGAAAGGUUGGGAAAUGUGCCAAAGUCACCAGUUUUCAGCCCUUAAAGCAGAUAUCCCAAAAAAAAUGUCUGCACCACUUCCCUCGUUUGAUUCGUGUGAAGGAGUCGCUCUCAUGACUCAUCUAGUGACAUCACUCCCUGACCAAUCAGUGGCCUGCAGGCUGUUAUCGUCACAUUUUCAGCUCAACUCAGCUCACUUGGAGCCCCGGCUGAGUAGGUACUAAAAGUACCUGGUACCAGGUACCAGCACCUUUAGGAAAAACACUAAAAACAUAGCCAAGUCAAGCCAAGUAAGCACCAGUGGAAAAGAGGCAAAAGUUAAUGAGUUCUACAAUCAUGUGGUAUGCUUAUAUUUCACACUGCUUCUGUAUUUUGGCUUUGUUUUUGCUGAAUAUUAAUAUUGAUAUGUCAUGUAUUGCUGUGUGUAUUUCUGUGUAUGUUUAGAACACGUGAAUACCAGAUGAUCUUUACUAUGUCCUCAAAAUGUCUGAAAUAAAAGAGGCUGCACAUUCUUUUUAACAUGACUGUAUCGUGUACUGUAACUGACUGCUGAGCAUACCUGACUGCUGCUGUGAGACCAUGUGAAAAGACAACAAAGUUUUUACUGCAUAAAGAAAAAGUCACACUUCAAUUUACUGCAGUAGCCAAAAAACCAGAAAUGGAUUAUCAGACAAUUCUGGGUGUGAUACCUUAGUUACAUCAUCACAUAUUUAGGAGAGUAAAAGUAGUCAGCUGAAAAGAGUGUGUGUGUGUGUGUGUGUGUGUGUGUGUGUGUGUGUGUGUGUGUGUGUGUGUGUGUGUGUGUGUGUGUGUGUGUGUGUGUGUGCGCGCGCACGUCCUGGUUAACUGUGCAGCCACUCUCCAUCUAGACUCUUGGUUCAGGAAUGAGUUCAUAUCUGAGUGAAGAA